UACCAGCUCUCCGAGUUGUAGGGAUGAUUAUUGGGCUUAAAGCGUCCGUAGCUGGCUUAGCAAGUCUCCUGUUAAAUUCAGCGACCUGAUCGUUGAGCCGCGGGAGAUACUACUAGGCUAGGAGGCGGGAGAGGUCGACGGUACUUUCGGGGUAGGGGUGAAAUCCUAUAAUCCCGGGAGGACCACCAGUGGCGAAGGCUGUCGACUAGAACGCGCUCGACGGUGAGGGACGAAAGCUGGGGGAGCGAACCGGAUUAGAUACCCGGGUAGUCCCAGCUGUAAACUAUGCGGGCUAGGUGUUGGGGUGGCUACGGGCCACUUCAGUGCCGCAGGAAAGCCAUUAAGCCCGCCGCCUGGGGAGUACGGCCGCAAGGCUGAAACUUAAAGGAAUUGGCGGGGGAGCACCACAAGGCGUGAAGCUUGCGGUUC
rnacentral:rRNA from 1 species